rnacentral:rRNA from 1 species
GGAUUAGUGGCGCACGGGUGAGUAAUAUAUAGAUAACGUGCCUCUUAGUCUGGGAUAGCCAUUGGAAACGAUGAUUAAUACUAGAUACUCCUUCUUAUUCUAAUGUAAGUCGGGAAAGUUUUUCGCUAAGAGAUCGGUCUAUAUCCCAUCAGUUAGUUGGUAAGGUAACGGCUUACCAAGGCAAUGACGGGUAGCGGGUUUGAGAGGAUGAUCCGCCACACUGGUACUGAGACACGGACCAGACUCCUACGGGAGGCAGCAGUGAGGAAUAUUGCACAAUGGGGGAAACCCUGAUGCAGCAACGCCGCGUGGAGGAUGACGCACUCGGUGUGUAAACUCCUUUUAUAUGUCAAGAAAAUGACGGUAGCAUAUGAAUAAGCACCGGCUAACUCCGUGCCAGCAGCCGCGGUAAUACGGAGGGUGCAAGCGUUAUUCGGAAUCACUGGGCGUAAAGGACGCGUAGGCGGGAUGCCAAGUCUGAUGUGAAAUCCUAUGGCUUAACCAUAGAACUGCAUUGGAAACUGGUAACCUAGAGUAUGGGAGGGGGAGAUGGAAUUAGUGGUGUAGGGGUAAAAUCCGUAGAUAUCACUAGGAAUACCGAAAGCGAAGGCGAUCUCCUGGAACAAUACUGACGCUAAGGCGUGAAAGCGUGGGGAGCAAACGGGAUUAGAUACCCCGGUAGUCCACGCCCUAAACGAUGUUCACUAGUCGUCGGAAUGCUAGUCAUUUCGGUGAUGCACUUAACAGAUUAAGUGAACCGCCUGGGGGAGUACGGUCGCAAGAUUAAAACUCAAAGGAAUA